rnacentral:rRNA from 1 species
UACGUAGGGAGCAAGCGUUGUCCGGAAUCAUUGGGCGUAAAGCGCGCGUAGGCGGCCCUGUAAGUCCGUUGUGAAAGUCAAAGGCUCAACCUUUGAAAGCCGAUGGAUACUGCAGGGCUGGAGUCCGGAAGAGGCGAGUGGAAUUCCUGGUGUAGCGGUGAAAUGCGCAGAUAUCAGGAGGAACACCGAUGGCGAAGGCAGGUCUCUGGGCCGAUACUGACGCUGAGGAGCGAAAGCGUGGGGAGCGAACAGG